CCUUUAGCACAGAGUAUUAAAGGUAACGCCUGCCCAGUGAUANAAUUAAACGGCCGCGGGAUCCUCCACCGUGCAAAGGUAGCAUAAUCACUUGUCCCCUAAAUAGUGACUAGUAUGAACGGCCAAAUGAAGAUUUUACUGUCUCUUAUGGCCAAUCUAUGAAACUAAACUAUCAGUACAAAAGCUGAUAUAUUAACAUAAGACGAAAAGACCCUGUGGAACUUUNNAAGCACAACCCACCAUANNAUNGGGCCACCUGCUUUUAGUUGGGGCAACUUUGGAAAAAAACAAAACUUCCAAUAAAAAUUUAAGAUUAACACAUCUACAUCAUAUACACACCCGACCCAACACAUGUUGAUCAAAGAACCAAGCUACCCCAGGGAUAACAGCGCCAUCCCCUCUAAGAGCCCAAAUCGACGAGCGGGGUUUACGACCUCGAUGUUGGAUCAGGGCCCCCAAACAGUGCAACAGCUGUUAAUGGUUUGUUUGUUCAACAAUUAAAGCCCUACGUGAUCUGAGUUAAGAACCGGAGC
rnacentral:rRNA from 1 species